AUGAAGAGGACCAAAAGGCGGGCAUGGGAACAUGAGGGAAGGCUAAAGCUCUCACCUCUCAGUUCCUGUGUAACAAAAUUGUUUAGCAAUAAAACGCGCAACUUAUUUUCUCCACUCUCGAACCUCAAUGCAUGUUCACAUCACAACUUGGGUGAUUUGAUCCAAGGGAUGGUGGCCGAGCCACAAGAUAAUCUGAGAUCUAGAACACUAGUUGAGAAGAGGAAGAAAAGAGAGCCUGAGAGCAGUGGGAAUGGGAACAUGGAGGAAACCCUAAAUGGAACGGUUGAAGUUGCAGCUGUCGUACCAUCUUCACCAUUGGCAGCUACUAUAUUUCAUCUACUGAUUCAAUUCAACCUCAACUUCAGAGCUGCUAGUGGCUACCAUGGACCUGAGUACGCCAUGAGAGGCCACACGGCUGAGAAGAUUGACGUGUUUGCACUCGGCGUGGUAGCGCUGGAGAUUGUUGCCGAAAUAAUGGUCUCCACGACACCCUUUGGUAUCCCCCAAGUUAUUUUCUCCACCACACGGUUGAUCUCCUAUGUUAUUAACCUCUCUUCCGGGCUCAUCGGUUCCACUCACGCCAUGAGAUCGAAACACAUGCCAUGGUUGGGACCAGAGGAUCAGAGUAGUCCAGUUCAUUUUCAGAUCUCCAUAACACCUUAUUUCAAGUCUGUGUGGGACCUGUACGAGAACGACAUCCCCCUCGACUUUGUGGAUCCGAAGUUGUCGCAAUUCAACAGCGAGGAGGUGCUCCGGGUGAUCCGCGUCGCACUCAUCUGCACCCAGGGGUCGCCCCACCGACGACCGUUGAUGUCGAUGGUGGUGUCAAUGCUCAUGGAAGAUGCCGACAUGGCCGGGCUACAUCACGGAUUGGCAGGUCAAGGCCGGGAGCAGCAGCAGCUACACAGGCACGAGCAGCCAGGCUGGUCUGUCAACAGUCUUUCAGCGCCGACCCUGCUGCGGGCAGGGAUGCCACACCGGCUCAAUAAUAACCUGAGAUCUAGAAGGCUAGUUGAGAAGAGGAAGAAAAGAGAGCUUGAGAGCAGUGGGAAUGGGAACAUGGAGGAAACCCUAACUUGCUUUGCUUCCACCUCUAGUGUAGGAGGUGAGAAUUCAGUUUGGUGUUUCCUGAUGUCUUCUAUUCCUAUUGUUCUCUAG
rnacentral:rRNA from 1 species